UGCAGAUAGAUAGAUGAUAGAGAAUGAAGUACUUUGAGAUCUGUACAAAAAGAUGAAUGAUGGAGGAUGGACAACUUUGAAAUUUGUAUAAGCAAAUGAAUAAUAAAAGAUGGAAUACUUCAAAAUAUAUGUAAAUUGAUGAUUGAUAAAUAAUAGAAUACUUCAAAUUUUGUGUAAGUUGAUAGAUGAUAGAAGACAAAGUGUUUUGAGAUUUAUACAAAUGGAUGGAUGAUAAAGGAUAAACGCUUCAAGAUUUGCAUAAACGAAUAGAUGAUAGAGAAUAGGGUGCUUUAAGAUUUAUAUAGGUGAUAAAUGAUCGAGGAUAGCAUGCUUUAAGAUUUUUGCAAGUAAAUUGAUGAUAGAGAACUAAGUGUUUUAAGACUUAUGUGGAUGAAUAGAUAAUAGGGGCCAAGUUCUUUGACAUUUGUGCGGAUGAAUGCAUCGCAGAUAAAGCACUUUGAGAUCUGUGCAAGCAAAUGGAACAUAAAUAGAGUGCUUUGCGAUCUGUACAAAUAAAUGGAUGAAACGGAAUACAGAUCUUUAAGACCUGUGCAUGCAAAUGAAUAAUUGAGAUAGAAGUACUUUAAAAUUUAUGCCAGCAAAUUAAUGACAAC
rnacentral:lncRNA from 1 species